rnacentral:rRNA from 1 species
GAGGGUGCAAACGUUGCUCGGAAUCACUGGGCGUAAAGGGCGUGUAGGCGGGAAGGAAAGUCAGAUGUGAAAUCCCUGGGCUCAACCCAGGAACUGCAUUUGAAACUCCCUUUCUUGAGUGUCGGAGAGGAAAGUGGAAUUCCUGGUGUAGAGGUGAAAUUCGUAGAUAUCAGGAGGAGCACCGGUGGCGAAGGCGGCUUUCUGGACGACAACUGACGCUGAGACGCGAAAGCGUGGGGAGCAAACAGGAUUAGAUACCCUGGUAGUCCACGCUGUAAACGAUGAACACUAGGUGUCGUGGGUAUUGACCCCCGCGGUGCCGCAGCUAACGCAUUAAGUGUUCCGCCUGGGAAGUACGGUCGCAAGACUA